UACACUCCUACGGGAGGCAGCAGUGGGGAAUAUUGGACAAUGGGCGCAAGCCUGAUCCAGCCAUGCCGCGUGAGUGAUGAAGGCCCUAGGGUUGUAAAGCUCUUUCACCGGUGAAGAUAAUGACGGUAACCGGAGAAGAAGCCCCGACUAACUUCGUGCCAGCAGCCGCGGUAAUACGAAGGGGGCUAGCGUUGUUCGGAUUUACUGGGCGUAAAGCGCACGUAAGCGGACUAUUAAGUCAGGGGUGAAAUCCCGGGGCUCAACCCCGGAACUGCCUUUGAUACUGGUAGUCUUGAGUUCGAGAGAGGUGAGUGGAAUUCCGAGUGUAGAGGUGAAAUUCGUAGAUAUUCGGAGGAACACCAGUGGCGAAGGCGGCUCACUGGCUCGAUACUGACGCUGAGGUGCGAAAGCGUGGGGAGCAAACAGGAUUAGAAACCCUGGUAGUCCCAUGAU
rnacentral:rRNA from 1 species